GGCGGACUGUUCUUAUGCGCGCUCCAUUAUUGUUCCUGGUAAUAGGGCAUUGUUGCGUUGAGGACCUUGAGGACCCACAAUUCGGACCAAUGUCAAUAGGGGAUGUGCAUGGAACUUGCACACCUUGCUCAAUGGAUGCCUAUCUGCAAGGGUGCCUAUUAUGAACGAAAUAGGUCGAUGUCAAACUCGGCUACAGGUGCCCGAACUUUGAUCUUAUUUUACUCAGGGUGUGAUGCUGAAACUUGGAUCAGUUGCAGCCCUUUCUAUAACCAUUUCAGGAUUAAAUUUUAAACAAAAUCG